UUUAUCGGAGAGUUUGAUCCUGGCUCAGGACGAACGCUGGCGGCGUGCCUAAUACAUGCAAGUCGAGCGGACAGAUGGGAGCUUGCUCCCUGAUGUUAGCGGCGGACGGG
rnacentral:rRNA from 4 species